AUAUCAAUCAGUGGGAAGCGAGUUUUGACAUCUGUUGUAGCAGUACCCAUCUCUCUCCCCGGUCUGCAGAGUCUCGAAUAAUGGCCUCCUCAGCGACUGGGACUCGGAACGUCGUCGCGGUGCCGUACCCGGGCCGCGGCCACAUCAACCCCAUGCUCGCCGUGUGCCGCCUGCUCGUCGCCGCGGACGGCGCCCUCACCGUCACCGUCGUCGUCACCGAGGAGUGGCACGCGCUGCUGGCCUCCGCGCCCACGCUGCCGGACCGCCUGCGCUUCGCCACCAUCCCCAACGACGUCAUCCCCCCCGAGCGCAGCCGUGGGGUCGACCACGCCGCCUUCUUCGAGGCAGUCAGCGUCAAGAUGGCGGAGGCCGUCGGGCAGCUGCUCGGCCGGCUAGUGCUGGAGCUACAGCCGAGGCCGGAGGGCAUCGUGGUCGACACCUACCUGACAUGGGGGGUUGCGGUGGGCACGCGGUGCCGGAUACCGGUGUGCUCGCUGUGGACCCAGCCGGCCACCUUCUUCUUGGCGCUCUACCACCUAGACCUGUGGUCGUCGGGUGAUGAACAUGAGCGCGAUGAAGAAUUAAGCACCAAGUCCAUGGAUCAGUAUGUGUCGUGCCUCUCAUCAGUAAGAAUGUCUGAUCUCAUGGUCUUCAGCCGAUGGAAGCGGCACAUGAAGAUAACAGCGGAGGCGUUCGUGAAAGUACGUAAAGCGCAGUGUCUCCUCCUCACCUCCUUCCACGAGCUUGAACCCCGUGCCAUCAACACAACAGCAGAGCUACUUCCGUUCCCCGUAUAUCCAAUCGGCCCUGUACACAUGCAGCCGGACGGGAACACGGGCAGGAUCCAGGACGAGGAGCACCGUGACUGGCUCGACGCGCAGCCAGAGAAGUCGGUGAUGUACGUCUCGUUCGGCAGCUACGCUUCCAUGCCGCACUCGCAGUUCCAAGAGAUCGCCAUGGGGCUGCUUGACGCUGGAGUCAAGUUCUUCUGGAUGGCACGGGACAAGGCCCCUGAGCUGCGGGAGAAGUGUGGCGACAAGGGGCUGGCGGUGCCGUGGUGUGACCAGCAGGAGGUGCUGCGCCACCCCUCCGUCGGCGGCUUCCUCAGCCACUGCGGGUGGAACUCGGUGCUCGAGGCCGUGUGCGCCGGAGUGCCGGUGAUUGGCUUCCCCGUCGCGUGGGAUCAGCUGGUGAACGCCCGGAUGGUCGCCGACGAAUGGAAGGUCGGCAUCGACCUGAGGGAGCAGAGGGGGGAGGAUGGGUCUGUGAGCAGGGCCGCCAUCUCGGAUGCCGCGAGGAAGCUGAUGGAUUCGGAUUCUGCUGUUGGCCAAGAGAUGAGGAAAAGAGCCGCACAGCUGCGCGAGGUUUCCCGUAGCGCGGUCCGGGAAGGCGGCUCGUCGCAUCGUUCGUUCAGCGGUUUCCUCGAGGAUCUCGCCGAGGGAAGGUUGGAGGUGGCUGAAAGUUCUCAUUGACUGAUGGCACUUCAUUUAGUCCACUGCGCUGGAUGGGUGUCGCGAGCGCACGUGGGAGAGCCGUCCGAUGCGCCCGAUAGCUCCGACUGCGCGGGAUCCAGCCCGACCAGGUGCCAUUAUGAGAAUAGGCGUGACGUGUGGUGUGUGGUGGGCCCGGGCUGCAUUAAUUCAGGUGAAACCGCCCACACCGACCGCUCCUCUUGUUCGAAACUGCCCCAUCGCCCUCGUCCCCUUUUCAUUCGAACUUCUCCCUCUCCUCCCUCUCAUCUAGCAACGACGCACGGCGCGAGGUUCUGCGGUUGUGGAUCCCGCACGGAGUCGCCGGUGUGGGAGGCCGUGAGCACGGCGAGUCGCCGGCUACAGGCGGAGAAUGGCUCUGAAAAGCAAAAGGGCCGCGGGAAGAACUGUUGGUGAAAAUGAGGGAGAAGAGGUGGUGGCUCAAACAACAAGGAGCAAUGUUGGACGCAAGCAUGGGCAGACAGAUGAGGGUCCUGUCUGGGGUGGUCGGGCAGGGAAACGGGCCACCAAUUCCGCCCCUCGUGAUGAAGGAGGGAGGCAUCCGAAACGUGCGAAGAAAGUCAAGCACAUGAUUGGUAGCAGUGGGCCACCACCGAGGAACAGGGCAUCACCUUCAAGACUUUUUGUCCUAAACAGUGGCCUUGAGGAUAUACAAAAGGAUGCCAUUGGUGAUAUAAGCUUUGGCGGUGUCCUUGAUAUUGGCACAAGAACAAUUAAGGCGUUGUUUGGAUAAGAGGAAUAUAGAGAACGCAAUCUACGUAAGCCAAGGAAACUGCCUAACCGUAAAAAAAUCUUGUUUGGCUCGUCCGACAACCCCGUGGAUAGGGGAAACUCGUUUCCCAAAAACACAUAAUUCCGGGUUUGUGGGAAAACUAGUAUUACUCAUUUUUCCACAAACGCGAUUAGCUUAUACAUAUGCAACUGCCUUUCUCCGCCCCCGCCUAUUCCUCAACAACCUUAGAUGGCGCCAAUUCUGCUUUUUGCAUCUCACCUCGCGCCCUUUUCACUGCCUAUAAAAGACAGACUUUGUUUCCCGCAUGUUAUACACCCAGAUCGCAAAGGGCUGGCUGUGAUCCCCGUGACAUGCACUGGAUGGGAUCACUGGAUGGGAGACGUUGACCUUGGAUCUGAAGUUGGUCAUCUUCAAUAAGGCUCCACAUCUCCUUCAGGCUUUCCGUGCAUCGUCUUCCCACCUUCAAUCAGUCUUCCCAUCUUCAAUCAGGUUCCAUGCCUUCACCAUGCUACACAGUAGUACGAAUUUGUAUUUGUAAAUAUUUUCAUGGUACUGUUGAUUGAAUUAAUCUAUUUGGUAGUGAACCCUAUUUUGAAUAAAACCUCUGAUAAUUUCAUAUGGGCAAUUCCUAGGACAUAGUAGAUCCAACAACUUGGUAAUCUGUUAAUCUAAAUGGUAACACGUACUGUUGAAGGAAAAAUUAGAGGCAACUCUGAUGAGGGAGUAUCGUAAAUAUGAACAUGUGGCACAUAAGAGAAUCAGAUUGCACUAUGAAUGCCUAUAUAAAUACUAAAAUGAUCUAACACCGAACCACAAUUAGAUUAUUGAUGACUAUAUAUAUCAAGUGCAGUAGUUAAUUUUUCAUGACAAGGAUGCAGUUUAAAGCACAUUGUAAGGAUAAUUUCCCAUAAGUAUCAAUCAUAUUUAUCCAGAAUAUAUAGUGUGCAGUAAGAGCUAAGCAGUAAGCAGAUGAAGAUUAGAAUACCUUGUGAUGUCAUCUGAUGUUGAUAGCAGUACUUGGGGCAAGCGAGACCAGAUUUAAUAGCAAAUUAAAGAUCUUGGCAGCAACCUAGGAAAAUAACUAAUAAGGGAUGUGAACAUCCCGUUAGACAGACAAGCGACAAAAAUUCAAGUGUCCAGUCAUAGCAUGAACAAAAGAUUAGUGGCAUGCUCAUUUUCUUCCACUUCGUAGAUUUAUUCCUUUUGAACCAAAUGACUCAUCUUCCAUUAUUGCUUCUUGUAUCCCCUCUGUAGAAAAAUAUGGAUGAUGAGAAGGAAAAAAAUUUAAGAAGGAAAACACAGAUAAAGCUAAGCGCCAUGUAUGGAAAUCUUCAGAGGACAAAAUACUGCUGAAUAUAUUAAAAGAUCAAAGCCUACAUGGAGGAAAAGAAGGAACAUGUUACACAAAGAAAGCAUGGCAUGAUAUCUUAGAACAAUUCAAUGAUUCAAGGGUAGAAAAACUUGAAUUACAACAACUGAAAAAUCGUCAUAAGUACUACAGGAGUUGCUACAGCACCAUGGACAGACUUCUAAAACUCACGGGAUUUGGUUGGGAUGACGAUGACAAAAUGAUAAAAGCUCCAGAAGAUAUUUGGGAAGAACUAAUUAAGAAGGAUAAGGCUAUCCAAGAAUAUCGAGAUAAGGUGUGGCCUAGUUGGAUAGAUCUUCAAGCCAUAUGUGCUAGUUCAACAACAUCUGGAGCUGGUGCUGUAUCUAGAAAAGGAAAAGAUGGUGCAUGUAUGACCAAAUCUUCACAAAUUGAUCUCAAUACGGAAGUUGAAGUACAUGACAUCGAUUCUGAUGAAAUCAAUGCUUCCCCUGGUGUCUUCACCAAGAAGUCAACUACCAUUGAGCCAGAAAAAAAGAAGUCCCCUGGAAGUGGAUCCAAGGAAACUGCAAGAGGACAAAAACGGACAGCCGAUGAUGCCAUAAUAGCAAUUGAUCGCCUUGCAGAUGCAUCACUUAGCAUUGCUGAAGCAAAGAAAACAGUAGCACAACAAACUAAAGCUUACUCGGUUAAAUCUUGUCUGGCAAUACUAAAUAGUAUGAGUAAUCUAGAUCCCAAUGAGAAACUAAAAGCGGUAAAGGCAUUUACAGACGGUGAUAAACGGGACAUUUUCAUUGAGAUGGAUGAAGAGACGCGGAAGCUCUGGAUUCUUGAUCCUUAGAAUUUUUGUAAUACACCUUUGAGCAUAGUAUUUUAUUUCAGUCGUUGUCGCACUUUACAAGAUUCAGAAAACAAUUUCACUUAUAUUUUGUCAGUUUGUGUGAAGUAAUAAAUAUUGUUUUCAGUUU